CAGGAUGAACGCUGGCGGCGUGCUUAACACAUGCAAGUCGAACGGACUCAUAUUGAAACCUAGUGAUGUAUGAGUUAGUGGCGGACGGGUGAGUAACGCGUGGAGAACCUGCCGUAUACUGGGGGGAUAACACUUAGAAAUAGGUGCUAAUACCGCAUAAGCGCACAACUUCGCAUGAAGCAGUGUGAAAAACUCUGGUGGUAUACGAUGGAUCCGCGUCUGAUUAGCUAGUUGGCGGGGUAAAGGCCCACCAAGGCGACGAUCAGUAGCCGGCCUGAGAGGGUGAACGGCCACAUUGGGACUGAGACACGGCCCAAACUCCUACGGGAGGCAGCAGUGGGGAAUAUUGCACAAUGGGGGAAACCCUGAUGCAGCGACGCCGCGUGAGUGAAGAAGUAUUUCGGUACGUAAAGCUCUAUCAGCAGGGAAGAAAAUGACGGUACCUGACUAAGAAGCCCCGGCUAACUACGUGCCAGCAGCCGCGGUAAUACGUAGGGGGCAAGCGUUAUCCGGAUUUACUGGGUGUAAAGGGAGCGUAGACGGCAGCGCAAGUCUGGAGUGAAAUCCCAUGGCUUAACCAUGGAACUGCUUUGGAAACUGUGCAGCUAGAGUGCAGGAGAGGUAAGCGGAAUUCCUAGUGUAGCGGUGAAAUGCGUAGAUAUUAGGAGGAACACCAGUGGCGAAGGCGGCUUACUGGACUGUAACUGACGUUGAGGCUCGAAAGCGUGGGGAGCAAACAGGAUUAGAUACCCUGGUAGUCCACGCUGUAAAC
rnacentral:rRNA from 1 species